GACGAACGCUGGCGGCGCGCCUAACACAUGCAAGUCGAACGAGCGAGAGAGAGUUUGCUUUCUCGAGCGAGUGGCGAACGGGUGAGUAACGCGUGAGGAACCUGCCUCAAAGAGGGGGACAACAGUUGGAAACGACUGCUAAUACCGCAUAAGCCCACAGCUCGGCAUCGAGCAGAGGGAAAAGGAGUGAUCCGCUUUGAGAUGGCCUCGCGUCCGAUUAGGUAGUUGGUGGGGUAACGGCCUACCAAGCCGACGAUCAGUAGCCGACCUGAGAGGGUGACCGGCCACAUUGGGACUGAGACACGGCCCAAACUCCUACGGGAGGCAGCAGUGGGGAAUAUUGCACAAUGGGGGAAACCCUGAUGCAGCGACGCCGCGUGAGCGAUGAAGUAUUUCGGUAUGUAAAGCUCUAUCAGCAGGGAAGAAAAUGACGGUACCUGACUAAGAAGCCCCGGCUAACUACGUGCCAGCAGCCGCGGUAAUACGUAGGGGGCAAGCGUUAUCCGGAUUUACUGGGUGUAAAGGGAGCGUAGACGGCAUGGCAAGCCAGAUGUGAAAGCCCGGGGCUCAACCCCGGGACUGCAUUUGGAACUGUCAGGCUAGAGUGUCGGAGAGGAAAGCGGAAUUCCUAGUGUAGCGGUGAAAUGCGUAGAUAUUAGGAGGAACACCAGUGGCGAAGGCGGUCUGCUGGACAGCAACUGACGCUGAGGCGCGAAAGCGUGGGGAGCANACAGG
rnacentral:rRNA from 1 species